UACGUAGGUGGCGAGCGUUGUCCGGAUUUACUGGGCGUAAAGAGCGCGCAGGCGGUCGUACAAGUCGCGUGUGAAAGCCCCCGGCUCAACUGGGGAGGGUCACGCGAUACUGUUCGACUCGAAGGCAGGAGAGGAUAGUGGAAUUCCCGGUGUAGUGGUGAAAUGCGUAGAUAUCGGGAGGAACACCAGUGGCGAAGGCGACUACCUGGCCUGUUCUUGACGCUGAGGCGCGAAAGCUAGGGUAGCAAACGGG
rnacentral:rRNA from 1 species